rnacentral:rRNA from 1 species
UACGGGGGGGGCAAGCGUUGUUCGGAAUUACUGGGCGUAAAGGGCGCGUAGGCGGCGUGACAAGUCACUUGUGAAAUCUCCGGGCUUAACUCGGAACGGUCAAGUGAUACUGUCGUGCUAGAGUACAGAAGGGGCAACUGGAAUUCUCGGUGUAGCGGUGAAAUGCGCAGAUAUCAGGAGGAACACCAAUGGCGAAGGCAGCUCGCUGGGACGGUACUGACGCUGGAGGCGCGAAAGCGUGGGGAGCAAACAGG